rnacentral:lncRNA from 1 species
AACACCGUCGUCGUCGCCUUCCCGAAGCCCACCGUCAUCGUCGCUGCCUUCCCGAAGCCUGCUGCCGUCAUCAUCGCGGUCGUCAGCGACGGAUCCGGCCUCCCCGCGGUGGCAAGUCACGGAUCCGGCAUCCCAGAGGUGGCAGGCCAUGGAUCCGGCCUCCCCACGGAGGCUGGCGAUGAAUCCGGCAUCCCCGAGGUGGCAGGCCACGGAUCCAGCCUCCCCGAUGCCACUGUCGUAGCCCUCGAUGCCGCCGCCUCUGCCGCCCUAGCCGACGGUGCCGCAGUCGCCAAGGACAAGAGGAAGAGGGAGAGGGCGAUGGGAGGAGGGGGAGCCGUAGUCGAUGCCGCCGCCUCUGCCGCCCUAGCCGAGCACGCCGCUGUCGCCGAGGACUCGAGGGAGAGGGAGAAGUGUGGGAGGAGGAGGAUGAUGAUAAGUGUGGGAGGAGCCGCGUGGAGGGAGCCACUUUAUUUUCGUGGGGUGGACUAUUUUCGUGUGCGGGUCUGUUAAGUGGCCAACA